GGCAGUGUGGCAUAGUGGUUAAGGAGUAGGACUCGUAACCUGAAAGGUUGCCGGUUCGAUUCCCUGCCGGGCUGCUGCUG
rnacentral:tRNA from 1 species